AGGACGUCGCGGUUGUAUUUUGUUGGUUUGUAGGACCGCCGUAAUGAUUAAUAGGGACAGUCGGGGGCGUCAGUAUUCAAUCGUCAGAGGUGAAAUUCUUGGAUCGAUUGAAGACUAACUACUGCGAAAGCAUUCGCCAAGGAUGUUUUCAUUAAUCAGGAACGAAAGUUAGGGGAUGGAAAACGAUCAGAUACCGUUGUAGUCUUAACCAUAAACUAUGCCGACUAGGGAUCGGGCGAUGUUAUUUCUUGACUCGCUCGGCACCUUACACGAAAGUAAAGUUUUUGGGUUCUGGGGGGAGUAUGGUCGCAAGGCUGAAACUUAAAGAAAUUGACGGAAGGGCACCACAAGGGGUGGAGCCUGCGGCUUAAUUUGACUCAACACGGGGAAACUCACCAGGUCCAGACACAACUAGGAUUGACAGAUUGAGAGCUCUUUCUUGAUUUUGUGGGUGGUGGUGCAUGGCCGUUCUUAGUUGGUGGAGUGAUUUGUCUGCUUAAUUGCGAUAACGAACGAGACCUUAACCUGCUAAAUAGCCCGUGCCGCCUCGGCGGCACGCCGGCUUCUUAGAGGGACUAUCGGCUCAAGCCGAUGGAAGUUUGAGGCAAUAACAGGUCUGUGAUGCCCUUAGAUGUUCUCUUCACGCCCGCGCGACACUGACAGGACCAGCGAGUUCCUCCUUGGCCGAAAGGCCCGGGUAAUCUUGAAAUUGCCUUUU
rnacentral:rRNA from 1 species